rnacentral:rRNA from 1 species
GACGAACGCUGGCGGCGUGCUUAACACAUGCAAGUCGAACGGUAAGGCCCUUCGGGGUACACGAGUGGCGAACGGGUGAGUAACAAGUGAGUGAUCUGCCCUGCACUUCGGGAUAAGCCCGGGAAACUGGGUCUAAUACCGGAUAGGACUCCUGGCUUCAUGGUUGGGGGUGGAAAGCUUUUGCGGUGGGGGAUGGGCCCGCGGCCUAUCAGCUUGGUGGUGGGGGAAGGGACUACCCAGGCGACGACGGGUAGCCGGCCUGAGAGGGUGACCGGUCACACUGGGACUGAGAUACGGCCCAGACUCCUACGGGAGGCAGCAGUGGGGAAUAUUGCACAAUGGGCGCAAGCCUGAUGCAGCGACGCCGCGUGAGGGAUGACGGCCUUCGGGUUGUAAACCUCUUUCAGCUAUGACGAAGCGCAAGUGACGGUAGUAGCAGAAGAAGGACCGGCCAACUACGUGCCAGCCGCCGCGGUAA